rnacentral:rRNA from 1 species
GACGAACGCUGGCGGCGUGCUUAACACAUGCAAGUCGAACGGAAAGGCCCUGCUUUUGUGGGGUGCUCGAGUGGCGAACGGGUGAGUAACACGUGAGUAACCUGCCCUUGACUUUGGGAUAACCUCAGGAAACUGGGGCUAAUACCGGAUAGGAGCUCCUGCUGCAUGGUGGGGGUUGGAAAGUUUCGGCGGUUGGGGAUGGACUCGCGGCUUAUCAGCUUGUUGGUGGGGUAGUGGCUUACCAAGGCUUUGACGGGUAGCCGGCCUGAGAGGGUGACCGGCCACAUUGGGACUGAGAUACGGCCCAGACUCCUACGGGAGGCAGCAGUGGGGAAUAUUGCACAAUGGGCGGAAGCCUGAUGCAGCAACGCCGCGUGCGGGAUGACGGCCUUCGGGUUGUAAACCGCUUUCGCCUGUGACGAAGCGUGAGUGACGGUAAUGGGUAAAGAAGCACCGGCUAACUACGUGCCAGCAGCCGCGGUGAUACGUAGGGUGCGAGCGUUGUCCGGAUUUAUUGGGCGUAAAGGGCUCGUAGGUGGUUGAUCGCGUCGGAAGUGUAAUCUUGGGGCUUAACCCUGAGCGUGCUUUCGAUACGGGUUGACUUGAGGAAGGUAGGGGAGAAUGGAAUUCCUGGUGGAGCGGUGGAAUGCGCAGAUAUCAGGAGGAACACCAGUGGCGAAGGCGGUUCUCUGGGCCUUUCCUGACGCUGAGGAGCGAAAGCGUGGGGAGCGAACAGGCUUAGAUACCCUGGUAGUCCACGCUGUAAACGGUGGGUACUAGGUGUGGGGUCCAUUCCACGGGUUCCGUGCCGUAGCUAACGCUUUAAGUACCCCGCCUGGGGAGUACGGCCGCAAGGCUAAAACUCAAAGGAAUUGACGGGGCCCCGCACAAGCGGCGGAGCAUGCGGAUUAAUUCGAUGCAACGCGUAGAACCUUACCUGGGUUUGACAUGGAUCGGGAGUGCUCAGAGAUGGGUGUGCCUCUUUUGGGGUCGGUUCACAGGUGGUGCAUGCCUGUCGUCAGCUCGUGUCGUGAGAUGUUGGGUUAAGUCCCGCAACGAGCGCAACCCUUGUUCACUGUUGCCAGCACGUUAUGGUGGGGACUCAGUGGAGACCGCCGGGGUCAACUCGGAGGAAGGUGGGGAUGACGUCAAGUCCUCAUGCCCCUUAUGUCCAGGGCUUCACGCAUGCUACAAUGGCUGGUACAGAGAGUGGCGAGCCUGUGAGGGUGAGCGAAUCUCGGAAAGCCGGUCUCAGUUCGGAUUGGGGUCUGCAACUCGACCUCAUGAAGUCGGAGUCGCUAGUAAUCGCAGAUCAGCAACGCUGCGGUGAAUACGUUCCCGGGGCU